rnacentral:lncRNA from 1 species
CUCCGAUGGCAGCUCUCUCUGCUGCCUACUGCCAAGAAGUAGGUCAAAAACCUAUUUUUGUCUCUAUUCUUCCGCAGCCAGAUUACAGUCCUUGCACCCUUGUGGAGGAGGGGAAGCCGCUGUAUCGUGGCUGUGAGGCCAGACGCACCUGGCACGGUACGGGGAUGAGUAGGGCCACCUCCCCUGGGCUCCCUCUGCUGUCGGUGGCACCUCCCUGCUGGCGGCGGAGGGAACCGGGGGGAACUCAGCGCUAGCAUUACUCUGCGGUUAAGCGGGUAGGGUGAAUUUGGGCCAAAGCACGAGCAGCGUGCCAACCUCAUGCAGGAAGUGUGUAUCCAGGUAGGGUGAAUUUGGGCCAAAGCACAAGCAGCGUGCCAACCUCACGCAGGAAGUGUGUAUCCAACUAGGGCAGAAGGUUUUUGGGUUUGACCCAGAUCCCAGCAGCGUGGUUUGGCCUCGUCACGCUUGUACGGGUGCAGCCACGGAGGUGGCGAACGGGGCAUGCAGCAGGAGCAGCAACUAGGGGGUGAAACACAGGGAUAUGCAUCAUAAGGGCACAUUUGCUACUCCUAGGCUGAUAGCUACCUGUUCCUGCCUCUGUCCCCCAUGGGCUGAUGAUUUUAUCAGCUCUGCUUGCUAAUAUCCUUCUUUCCUCCCCACGUACCAACAACCCUUUUUUCUCAAAUUGUCCAGUUGAUUAACAUAAUUAAGUUAAACUCAGCAACUGUUUUCAACUUGCACUUACUUUGAAGUUAGCUAGAGGACACGUCAGCAAGCUGCCCCAAUUUUCCAGCUGGAAAUUAGAAAAAAAUAAAUAAUAAUAAAUUAAGCCAAAGAUACUAUCUCUCCUUAUAGACUUGCCUCAUUUGUAUCUUUGUCUUGAAUGCCAAACGUUCUUCUCAUUGACUCACCCCACUCCUGUUCACGCAAAGUGAAGAUAGGUACAUGGCUUUUGCCGUUCUGGAUUCCUGUGAGCUUUGGGAGAGGAGCGAUCCUGCUAUCUGGAAGGCUGCGUUUUGCCAGUGGUCUACAAAACACCGUUCUCAAAUGUCCGCACCGUCUGGGGACCUGGCAUCCAGCUUACGGAUGGGGAUUCACCCUGGCAGCAGCCAAGUCCCUGAGGAGAAGGAGGGAUGAAGCAAAGUCUGCUACUUCUUCUGCUACUUGCCAUGGUGAAACAGAUGUUCCUUGCAUGUGUUGAUGUGGACCUUGCCUCUGUGUGUGUAUUAAGUGCCCUCUGACUACUAACGCCUGGUUUUCUGGGCCUGUAAUUAAGAAAUAGUGAAUUCUUCCAACGUUUUCCAGCAGCCAGCCUAACAGCUAAUUUUAAGAAAUAUGGAAUCAGCUGCUGUACCUCUGAACCUCUGGAGCACAUCUCUGGAGACAGCACUAUACUACAGUCAUAAUUUCAAGCAGAAAAACAAUAGCGGUGCCCCUGUAUGCCAGGAAGAGGUCUUUAACGCGGUGAGGCUGUGACCAACCCCUCUGCUGGACAGAAGACUGCAUAUCAGUUACAAAG